CCUACGGGUGGCUGCAGUGAGGAAUAUUGGUCAAUGGCCGAGAGGCUGAACCAGCCAAUUCGCGUGAGGGAAGACGGCCCUACGGGUUGUAAACCUCUUUUGUCGGGGAGCAAAGAGAGUCACGUGUGACUCAUUGAGAGUACCCGAACAAAAAGCAGCGGCUCACUCCGUGCCAGCAGCCGCGGUAAUACGAGGGAUGCGAGCGUUAUCCGGAUUUUUUGGGUUUAAGGGGUGCGCAGACGUAGGUGCAAUUCAGCGGUCAAAUUGCGGGGCUCAACCCCGUACUGCCGUUGAAACUGCAUCCCUUGAGUGCGCGAGAAGGAUGCGGAAUGCGUGGUGUAGCGGUGAAAUGCAUAGAAAUCACGCAGAACUCCGAUGGUGAAGGCAGCAUACCGGCGCGCAACUGACGCUCAUGCACGAAAGCGUGGGUAUCGAACAGGAUUAGAUACCCCAGUAGUC
rnacentral:rRNA from 1 species